GUACUAUGAACAUUUCACUUGCAAAAUGUGUCCCGACUGAAGGAUAACGAUGAAAAGCGUUCAUACUAAUUUACUCGGCGGUGAAAUAGAGGUUACGAGUUGCUUGUGGUUAUUAAUUCCGCGAGACAUUUUUUGGUCCCUGACAAAAACAGCGAUACAAACAAAUUAAUUUCCUCGUUCCAUGAAUGGGUUGCGAUUCACACGUGGAAGGUAUGGCGUGUCGUGUAGUGAUUAGUGCUGCAAAAUUAAAAUCAGCGUAUAUGAUAAGACAAGGCUUAAUGGGGUUAGUGGAAGUGAAGACAGAGAUCCGGGAUGAACUCAGCUAUCGGGAUAAACGCGAGUGUUUCCCUAAUGCGGCGAAAUCCUGAUUACGUAUAAUUCAGUUUAAUGGCCACGACUUUUCACGAAAAUUGAUGCGUCUUUUGACGAAAUUUCGAAAGUGUGAACUUGUGAACUCGAACGGAAACAAGAUCGUUGAUCAUAAAAUGAUCACAUAAGGAUUAAAAAGAAAUCAACGGAAAAGAAAUCAAAGUCAAACGCGACGAUUCAAGGCCGACAAGACGAAUGGAAGAGAACGAGGAGAAAAAAUCCGAUA